AAGUCGUAACAAGGUUUCCGUAGGUGAACCUGCGGAAGGAUCAUUGCAAAAUGUGUGAGGGGAUUUGUUGGAAUGUGCGAUAGAGAAAUUUACAAUGAUUAACUCUUUUUAUACAACUCUCCACAAUGGAUCUCUGGGCUCUUGCAUCGGUGAAGAACGCAGCAAAACGCGAAAUGUGUUAUGACAUGCAAUCUUUGAGAAUCAAGAAAUUUUUGAACGCACCAUGUACCCUGCAAAGGGUAUGCUUGUUUGAGUAUGAAGAAAUAAGUGGAGAUUACGAGGAUAUCGUUUCUCUUAAAUGAACUGGUUAGUGCGCAGGUUAGGGUUAGUUUUGGGAUAAACCUUCGAAACAACCUUGACUUGUUCACUCGCGUGAAAUACACACCUAUUUCACUCACUCUCUCAAACUCAUCUCAAAUCAGGCAAGAUUACCCGCUGAACUUAA
rnacentral:rRNA from 1 species